UACGGAGGGGGCUAGCGUUGUUCGGAAUUACUGGGCGUAAAGCGCACGUAGGCGGCUUUGUAAGUUAGAGGUGAAAGCCCGGGGCUCAACUCCGGAAUUGCCUUUAAGACUGCAUCGCUAGAAUUGUGGAGAGGUAAGUGGAUUUCCGAGUGUAGAGGUGAAAUUCGUAGAUAUUCGGAAGAACACCAGUGGCGAAGGCGACUUACUGGACACAUAUUGACGCUGAUGCGCGAAAGCUAGGGGAGCAAACAGG
rnacentral:rRNA from 1 species